AGCUCCGAUGGCCUAGUGGUUAAAGCGUCCGCCUCAGGCUCGGAUGCGGGAGGUCGUGGGUUCGAUCCCCGGUCGAGUCA